rnacentral:rRNA from 1 species
AGUGAACGCUGGCGGCAGGCCUAACACAUGCAAGUCGAACGGCAGCACAGGAGAGCUUGCUCUCUGGGUGGCGAGUGGCGGACGGGUGAGGAAUACAUCGGAAUCUACUCUGUCGUGGGGGAUAACGUAGGGAAACUUACGCUACUACCGCAUACGACCUACGGGUGAAAGCAGGGGAUCUUCGGACCUUGCGCGAUUGAAUGAGCCGAGGUCGGAUUAGCUAGUUGGCGGGGUAAAGGCCCACCAAGGCGACGAUCCGUAGCUGGUCUGAGAGGAUGAUCAGCCACACUGGAACUGAGACACGGUCCAGACUCCUACGGGAGGCAGCAGUGGUGAAUAUUGGACAAUGGGCGCAAGCCUGAUCCAGCCAUACCGCGUGGGUGAAGAAGGCCUUCGGGUUGUAAAGCCCUUUUGUUGGGAAAGAAAUCCAGCUGGCUAAUACCCGGUUGGGAUGACGGUACCCAAAGAAUAAGCACCGGCUAACUUCGUGCCAGCAGCCGCCGUAA